GUGGGGAAUAUUGGACAAUGGGCGAAAGCCUGAUCCAGCCAUGCCGCGUGUGUGAAGAAGGUCUUCGGAUUGUAAAGCACUUUAAGUUGGGAGGAAGGGCAGUAAGUUAAUACCUUGCUGUUUUGACGUUACCGACAGAAUAAGCACCGGCUAACUUCGUGCCAGCAGCCGCGGUAAUACGAAGGGUGCAAGCGUUAAUCGGAAUUACUGGGCGUAAAGCGCGCGUAGGUGGUUCGUUAAGUUGGAGGUGAAAUCCCCGGGCUCAACCUGGGAACUGCCUCCAAAACUGCAUGACUAGAGUACGGUAGAGGGUAGUGGAAUUUCCUGUGUAGCGGUGAAAUGCGUAGAUAUAGGAAGGAACACCAGUGGCGAAGGCGACUACCUGGACUGAUACUGACACUGAGGUGCGAAAGCGUGGGGAGCAAACAGGAUUAGAAACCCGGGUAGUCC
rnacentral:rRNA from 1 species